UAGCCGCAGAAAUUUAACUGUGCUAAGGUAGCAUAAUCAUUAGCUCUUUAAUUAAGAGCUCGUAUGAAAGGUUAAACAUUAUAUAUACUAUAACCUUUUUAAUAAAUCAAAAUUUAAUUAAGAAUCAAAAUGUUCUUAUUAUAUAAAUAGACGAUAAGACCCUAUUGAACUUUACUUUAGUUUAACUGGGGCAGUUAACUAAUAAUAAUCUUAAUUAACCUCUUUUUAUAAAAAUCCAAUCUAUUUGAAUUUGAAUAAGUUACCAUAGGGAUAACAGCGUAAUUUGUUUCUAAAGUUCUUAUUUAAAAACAAGAUUGCGACCUCGAUGUUGAAUUA
rnacentral:rRNA from 1 species